GCCCAUACAAAUUUAAUUGCAUAUGAGAAAUGCAGUAUAGCUAGGGAAUGACCCCUAGGUCGUCUCCCAAAGACCAAUUUUGCGAUUCAGAAUCAAGUCAAACACACAGUGGGGGGGUUUUGUGAAAGGUUUGCGUGGUGAAUGCGGAAAUUUUAAAAUGAAAUUAAAUUAAAACGCAGAUGUAAAAACGUAAUUAAAUUCAAUUAAAACGAAAUUAAAUGCAACAAAACAUUUCACCAUGCAUGAAAAUGAAAUUAAAACAGUAAAACGAAACUGCUACAGUAAAUACGAAAAUUCACGCUGCAACUGGACAACUCUGACCUUUGCUCAAUGUUUUACCCAUAACUUUUUCUACAGAGCUCUAAAUG
rnacentral:lncRNA from 1 species